UAUGCUUAGCCCUAAACAUUGACAACAACAUACACCUGUUGUCCGCCUGGGAACUACGAGCAUCAGCUUGAAACCCAAAGGACUUGGCGGUGCUUUAGAUCCACCUAGAGGAGCCUGUUCUAGAACCGAUAACCCCCGUUCAACCUCACCCUUCUUUGUUUCCCCCGCCUAUAUACCGCCGUCGUCAGCUUACCCUAUGAAGGUCCUUUAGUAAGCACAAUUGGUACAACCCAAAACGUCAGGUCGAGGUGUAGCGUAUGGAAAGGGAAGAAAUGGGCUACCACGAAUAAUACACUGAAACGUAUAUCUGAAGGAGGAUUUAGCAGUAAGCAGAAAAUAGAGCGUUCUGCUGAAAGGCCCUGAAGCGCGCACACACCGCCCGUCACUCUCCCCAAAUAUACCCUAAAAACUUUACAUCAAAGGGGAGGCAAGUCGUAACAUGGUAAGUGUACCGGAA
rnacentral:rRNA from 1 species